CCUCGCCAGUGCCGAGGAGCCAGUCUGGAGACGCGCUUGGGUGGUGUGCUGGUUGUAGAAAGAGCCCGGCAGCGCGCGAGGGAGCGAGCGAGUGCGAGCAAAGAAGGGAACGCGACGCGGCGGGGAUUUCCAGACUGGGCUCGAGGGCGGGAGAGGAAGUGCCGGGCGGGGGGAAAGAGAACCAGCCGGGGCAGCGCACCAGGGACUUUCCAGCCGGGGCAAGGCAGACUACGUUUGGCUGAACUGCUGCAAGAACAGCAGUGGUCGGUAGUGCUGGCGGCCGCGGUUCUUUCCCCCCCUUCUUUUCCUCAGGCGCAGAGGGUAGCUUUAUAGCAAGUACAGAAGAAGGAGCAGUUAAAGGAUACAACAUGAAGUGGACAUAUGCAGCAUACCAUGAAGCUAAAAUCAGGAAUUAUGACAUUUAUCGAAGUGUAAAGUGUAUACUUAAGAACAUGACUGACCUGCUGGAUCAGACCAAAGUCCUCCCUAAAGUGGCAUCCUGUUUCCUGUGGUAGCCAAGCAGCUGUCCCUGGGAAGCCUUGCAAGUAGGAUGUAAGAAUCAUAACCCGACAUUGCUGCUGUCCAGCAACUGGUAUUCAGGUUCAUGCUGCUUUUCAUAUUAGAAAUAAUACAUAAUAAUGACAACUGCUGCCCAUUGAUGACUAUGUUCUGCCUAUAGUCAUUAAUAAGGAAUAGCUUCAGUGAAUUUCCAGUAUUUCAGAAGGUUCGGAGAAUGAGGAUUCCAUACUGGUCAGGAUUCUUAAUUCUUGGAUUCAUGUCAGUUCUGCACAAAGAUCUCUGCUUUUAAAUAACAUUUACACCAGUAUAUUUCAAGAUGGAAAGAAACUACAUAUAGUUUGGAGAUAAUGAAAUUAAAUAAUUGAAGUAUGUAUAUGGUACUGGAUAGCAUGAUAUGCUGUUCAGUUGCUUUUUUUCCUUCCUAUUUUAUUCUGAACUUGGAUUACAUCUAUAAAAUCAGUGGAAGUCUACAUAAGAAAUAAACAGUUCAUUUUAUAACUCUCUUCUGAAACUUUUGAUACUGUCUUUUCUUAAAAUGACUCAGUGGGGCAAUACAGCAGGGUAGCCAUCUAGUUCUCUUUUGAGAAGUUUGCUCAGUUUUUUAGAAAAUGAAAAAAUAGUUUAUAUUCUAAAUAUUCAUUUCAAAUGAAUGGAUCAGAAAGAUAUAUGUAGGAUAGAAGCAAGAUAAUGCUUGUCCUCCAGUGGCCAUUGAUAUCUGGGCAUAUUAUUUGCAUAGCUGUAUAUAAAAUGCAAUGUGUGCAGUUCUGUUUUGUGUAAUCAUGAGGAAUUUCACAAAUCACACUGUCAAUAUUUAGAGGACACAAAAAUAUGGCUGAAACCCCCCCCCCACUUUACAGUUAACUUUUGUAUGCUAAAAUAAAUGUGGACAGCCCAGAACAACUUAUAGCAGAACUUAUUUUUGUAAUGGAGGAGGCUAGAUUUUGGGGUGUUUGCAUUUGCUGCCAGCUUUCAAUGGCAUGGAAUUGUGUGUGUGUGUGUGUGUGUGUGUGUAUGUACAGUGCAUUCAGAAAGUAUUCAGAUCCCCUUCACUUGUGUCAAUUUUGUUAUG